rnacentral:sRNA from 1 species
GUCGCGGGGCGUACUCUGCGCUGGGCGCGCGGAGGCCUAGGCGGGAAGCUCGAGCGGCGGCGCCAUGGCCCGAGCGUGGCAGCACCCGUUCCUCAACGUCUUCAGACACUUCCGGGUGGACGAGUGGAAGCGCUCCGCCAAGCAGGGGGACGUGGCCGUGGUCACGGACAAGACCCUGAAAGGCGCCGUGUAUCGCAUUCGGGGCUCAGUCUCUGCCGCCAACUACAUCCAGCUCCCUAAGAGCAGCACCCAGUCCUUGGGGCUGACGGGACGAUACCUGUAUGUGCUCUUUCGGCCCCUGCCCAGCAAGCACUUCGUCAUCCACCUGGAUGUGUCCUCCAAGGACAACCAAGUCAUCCGUGUGUCUUUCUCCAACCUCUUCAAGGAGUUUAAGUCUACGGCCACGUGGCUCCAGUUUCCCUUGGUCCUGGAGGCCAGGACACCUCAGAGAGAUCUGGUGGGUUUGGCCCCCUCCGGAGCCCGCUGGACCUGCCUGCAGCUCGAUCUGCAGGACGUUCUCCUGGUCUACCUGAACCGGUGCUAUGGCCAUCUCAAGAGCAUCAGGCUGUGCGCCAGCCUGCUGGUCAGGAACCUGUACACCAGUGACCUGUGCUUUGAGCCUGCCAUCUCUGGGGCCCAGUGGGCAAAGCUGCCCGUGACUCCUAUGCCUCGGGAAAUGGCAUUCCCUGUGCCCAAGGGAGAGAGCUGGCAUGACCGCUACAUCCACGUCCGGUUUCCAAGUGAGAGCUUGAAAGUGCCUUCCAAGCCGAUUGAGAAGAGCUGUUCCCCUCCUGAGGCAGUCCUCCUGGGGCCGGGGCCACAGCCUCUCCCUUGCCUGGUGGCCUCCAGCAAACCUGUGCGGUUCAGUGUGUCUCCAGUGGUCCAGACGCCCAGCCCCACAGCCGUGAGUACCCCCUUCGCCCUAUGAGAUGGGGUUGGGGUGUGAUGGCCCAGGACGCUGAUGGGCACUUGUCCCCCAGCAGUGCGGCCGGGCCCCCGUGGCACCCAGGCCCUUCCCGGAGGUCAGCCUGUCCCAAGAGCGCUCAGACGCCUCCAACGCGGAUGGCCCCGGUUUCCAUAGCCUUGAGCCCUGGGCCCAGGUGGAGGCCUCUGACGUCCACACGGCUGCUGCCGGCACCCAUGUGUUGACUCACGAGUCGGCUGAGGUGCCCGUGGCCCGCACCGGCUCCUGCGAAGGCUUCCUCCCAGACCCAGUCCUGAGGCUCAAGGGCGUCAUCGGCUUUGGGGGCCACGGCACCAGACAGGCCCUGUGGACCCCAGACGGGGCGGCUGUCGUGUACCCCUGCCAUGCGGUGAUCGUCGUCCUGCUCGUGGACACGGGGGAGCAGCGCUUCUUCCUUGGCCACACAGACAAGGUCUCCGCCCUGGCGCUGGAUGGCAGCAGCUCACUAUUGGCCUCGGCCCAGGCAAGGGCCCCUAGUGUGAUGCGGCUCUGGGACUUCCAGACCGGGCGGUGCCUGUGCCUGUUCCGGAGCCCAAUGCACGUUGUCUGCUCUCUCAGGUGAGCACAGGUCUGCCCCAUGCAGGGGGUGGGGGUCAGCCCAGGCGACACUGACCGCCUCCUCCCUGUUCACAGCUUCUCUGACAGCGGGGCCCUUCUCUGCGGGGUUGGCAAGGACCACCACGGGAGGACGAUGGUGGUGGCCUGGGGCACCGGCCAGGUGGGCCUCGGUGGCGAGGUGGUCGUUCUGGCAAAGGCGCACACUGACUUUGACGUCCAGGCCUUCCGGGUCACCUUUUUUGAUGAAACCAGGAUGGCGUCGUGCGGGCAGGGCAGCGUGCGGCUCUGGCGGCUGCGUGGCGGGGCGCUGCGUUCCUGCCCCGUGGACUUAGGGGAGCACCAUGCGCUGCAGUUCACCGACCUCGCCUUCAAGCAGGCCCGGGACGGCUGCCCGGAGCCCUCAGCUGCCAUGCUCUUGGUGUGCAGCCGCAGUGGCCACAUCUUGGAGAUUGACUGUCAGCGCAUGGUCGUGCGGCAUGCCCGCCGCCUGCUCCCCACACGGACUCCAGGCGGUCCCCACCCGCAGAAGCAGACCUUCAGCUCAGGUAAGAGGGCGCCCACCACGUGGCGAGGGUGGCAGGGACACCGAGGCACUGACGCCUCCCUGCCCCCAGGCCCCGGCAUUGCCAUCAGCAGCCUCAGCGUCUCCCCGGCCAUGUGUGCUGUGGGCUCUGAGGACGGCUUCCUGCGGCUCUGGCCCCUGGACUUCUCCUCGGUGCUCCUGGAGGCAGGUGAUGCUGUGGGCACGCUCUCCCAACUCCGGGAGAGCCUCGCCUGGAUGCUGGGGCGGGGAAGGCCCAGUCCCUGGGGCUCUGCUGUCAGCCGCCCUGGCUCCUGGCUGCACAGGGUGCCACGGGGCCAAGUGGCGUAUCCAGAGCCCUGGGGCGGCUGAUGCCAGGGCGGCCCGCAGGGCAGCCUCACGGAAGGGCCCGGUGGGACGUGGGUACUGUGUGAAGCCCCUCAGCCUGUGUCCCGCCUAGCCUAAGAGUGGUGGUCUCGAGGGAGCUGCAUCUUGCAGCCGUGUGGAGCCUGGGACUUUGAGC